AUCUGAGACAGGAGCUUUGAAGAAGGAUGGAUUCAGUGGGAGUGAAAACGAUUGAAAUGGCAGCUCUGGGGAGACCCUUCCAGCUGGGCAUGUUGUACGACUGCAGGAAAGAUGCUUUAAUACCAGGAAUCACAUUGUGGAAUCAAGAAGAGCUGCAGAAGAGUAUACAAACUCGUCCCCAAAUUAACACAGAUUUCAAAGUCACAGCUUCAGACUCCAUGAAGGAAAAAUCUAAGUUAAUGAACAUUGGUGGCUCUCUGAAUUUGAGUAUUUUAGGAGGACUCAUCAGUGUUUCAGGAUCAGCCAAAUAUCUCAAAGACACCAAGAUGACUUUCAAUCAACAGAGACUCACCUUACGUUAUCAUUCAACCAGCAAGUUUGAGGAACUCACCAUGAAUCAUUUGGCACCUGAAAAUAUAGUCCACCAUCAGGCGCUUGAUAAAGACAUGGCCACACAUGUGGUGACAGCUGUGCUGUAUGGAGCAGAUGCAUGCUUUGUGUUUGAUCGAGAAGUUUCAUCAGAUGAGGACAAAACAACAGUAAAAGGAGAAGCAAAAGUUGCCUUUGAGAAGCUAACAAACAUUUCUCCAGGUGUAAGUGUAAAUCUAAAGAUGAAUGACGCUCAGAAGAAUGCAGUUAAAAAAUUCAAUUGCACAUUUUAUGGUGACUUCCAGUUACCGUCUAAUCCGACCUCUUUUGAAGAUGCUUUGAAGGUUUUCACUGAUCUUCCGAAACUUCUGGGAGAAAACAGAGAAGUUCCAGUGACAGUUUGGCUUUUUCCUUUGGACAAACUGCUCACAAAAACUGUCAAACUUCAAAAAGAAAUCUCCAUGAAUCUAAUCACAAAAACAGAAUCAGUUUACGAGAGUUUAAGUACAGCUGAGAUGAAAUGCAAUGAUCUUCUGAAAGACUCACCUGCUGAAGCCUUCACAACCUUUCAUGAUAAAAUACAAGACAUGAAGCAAAACUGUUCCAACUACAAGCUGAGUCUCAUGGAGAAACUGGGCUCGCUGUUGCCAAGCAUCCGUGGAGACAUGAUACCGGACACAGCUCUGACCGAUCUUCUGAAACAUCAUGAUGAAUCUCCAUUCAGAGGACAUUAUCUUGAACAAUGGCUGGAAGAGAGAGAGAAAGAGUCUGAUGUCAUUAAAACAUUGCUCAGACAACUCAACGAUUCUGGAGUAAAAGUAGAAAACAACCUAGAAAAAAACUUGAUGGAUCUACAAGUAAAAAAUUUGGUCAGUUACACGUUCACAUCAUUAAACUGGUCAGAUGAGCUUCUUCAUAAUCAAAUGAUCUACCCGAGUCCAUCAACAAAUGAGGAUUCAACUGAUUCGAAACAAAAGUCUUGGCUCACUUCUGACAUCAGAAACACCAUGAGGAAGAACCUGAAGAUAUUCAAGAGCUUGAUUGACUCAAAAGAUCGUAAGUCAGCUAAGUUUAUCGUUUCAUCAAAGGAAAUGAAGGAUACUCCAGGUUCCUGCAUUCUUCUGUAUAAAAAUGGACGUGAUGAAGCUGUUUGCUUUAGUCCUCCAUCAAAACCAGCCUGUCCAGUCACUGAAGAGGUCAAAGCUGACCAUGUGGUUUUGAAGGUGUCUUCAUCAAGUCCUGAUACAGUCGAGCUCAGAUUAAUGUACAAAAUGAAGCAUGAGAAAGACUGGACAUCUCAAACUGUGCUGAAUGACCAACACACAGUGACUGUGACUGAUCUGAGAGCAGGAACUGAGUACCAGAUGAAGUGUGCAGCAGUGGGGAAACUCGACUACACCAUUGAAUCUGACGUCAUCAGAGUCAUCACUGAGGAAAGGAACAGACGAUUUAUGGGAUACUCUGGACUGAUAGAUGGAGAAAGCAGCUCCCUAAAUUCAGUUCUGCAAACUCUCUACAUGACAAAGGAAUUCAGGGAACACUUGGAGACAGUGGAAAUAAGAGAUGAUGACACUGGAAGUAUCCUCAUUGAAGAGUUGAAGACAUUGUUCAGUAAACUAGAUACAGAACGAGGUCCGGUCUCAACAACUCACAUCAAAGAGAUGUUUCAUCAUGAGAUAGAUGGAAAUAUACGUUUGAAUUACUCAAAACAUUGUCUAUAUUGGAUACUCUCGAAGAAUGAAUUGUCUGAGAUUUUUAAAUAUGAGAUAACUGCUAAAUGUCUGAAAUGCAACAGAACUGAAACAUAUAAAGAAAGAUUUAAUUUCAUCUCACUAGACCCACAACACUCUCAGGAUUUGUGACACUAGGGGUCACUCUUAAGAGCCCUGACCAUCUCCCAAGUUUUUGAGAAAAGGCCAAUGCGAAUUGCGGUUUUGUCAGUAAGCUGAUUCUACUGCCGAUCUGAUCAUCCAAAUACCAAAGCAAACUGCUGUUGGAUAUACGUUUCUGGAUGCGGUCGUUACCUCCCCACCUCUGACGGUCAUGAUCGCUGCCUUACAUGUCUGUGCUGAAAUCACGUUGAGGAAGCUUUCGUGGAUGGUUCAUGUUCUCGUUGCAGUUUUCCUUCUUUCGGGGGAAAGCUACUUCAGCUGCCCCCCGCGCCGGUCCUUCUACCAAAAGGUACGAGGCCAGCCCGUCUGGCGCUGAAGAGCUCAUGACGCGGAUGAGGUUUCAAUGUUGGAUGCAGAGGACUCAGCUGUCUGUCUGAGGCUGAUGUGGAUCUGACCGCCAUGCUUGCCCAGGCCGUUGCCAGUGUCUGGAUGGACUGGAAACCCUCCACCCACCCCUGAACACUCAUGGCUGGACGAUUGGUACCUUAGGUCGGGCCGCCAAUCCCGGGCCUCUGGAAUCUCCAUGUCUGGUCCCUGGAUGGGAUGCAGAAGACCUAAGUUGUCUUCUGCCAGCGGUAGUUAACACGAUCACUCAGGACAGAGCUCCCUCCACAAGGCAGCUCUAUGCCCUCAAGUGGCGUGUUCACGAAUUAGUGUUCUUCUCGAAGUGAAGACCCUCAAAGGUGCGCAGUCAGGUCAGAGCUUUCCUUUUUGCAGGAAAAGUUGGAGGGGUGGCUGUCCCUCUCCACUUUGAAGGUGUACAGGCUAUAGCCGCUCACCAUGACGCAGUAGAAGGUAAGUCUCCUGGGAAGCACGACUUGAUCAUCAGGUUACUGAGAGGCGUGAAGAGGUUGAACCCCCUAGACCACGUCUCUUUCCCUCGUGGGACCUCUCUGUGGUCCUUCUAGGCCUUCGUAGAGCCCUGUUUGAGCCCCUCGAGUCAGUCGAGCUAAAGGCUGUCUCACUAAAGACCACCCCCCUGACCGCACUCACUUCCAUCAAGAGGGUCGGGGACCUGCAAGCGUUCUGUCUCAGGAAAAUGUGACUGGAGUUCGGUCCGGAGGACUCUCAAGUGAUCUAGAGACCCUGACCGGGCUAUGUGCCCAAGGUUCCCACGACACCUUUUAGGGAUCAGGUGGUGAGCCUGCAAGCACUGCCCUGGGAGGAGGCAGCCCCAGUUGCUGUGUCCAAUGCAAGCUCUACGCAUUUAGUCCAGGCCGUGCCCACCCUUAUGGGUAUUCGAGCACACUCUACUAGGAGUGUGGCAUCCUCGUGGGCACUGGCCAACGGCACCUCUCUAGCAGACAUCUGCAGAGCAGCAGGCUGAGCAACACCCAAUACCUUAGCAAGAUUUUGCAAUCUCCAGGUUGAGUCAGUUUUGUCCCAUGCUUUGUCAGGUCUGAACAGGUAAGUUUGGUAACUCGGGAUAGCUGGCCGGGUGUAUUUUUUGCAUAUGGUGCCUUUCCCCUCCAAGAGCAUCUCCCAUGCAUGUUCACAGACAAUGAACCCUGGAUACUCUUCCUCCUUAGAACACGUCGGACCCAGUACGUGUGCUAACUUGCCCUGUACUGGUGUAGGUGCUCCACAGGUGCCGGUUACUUCGGUAACCCCCUGUGACGUAUUUUCAGCAGUACGGUCUCCCUAACAGGCAGACCUGCGUCUUCCUUGGGCAGAACUCUCUCUGCCCCAAUCAUUGUGUUUGUAAAGCUCCUCUCCUUCAAGGUAGGACAUACCACCGUUCCUCAUCCAUGUGUGGCUGUGAGCCCAUGUGAUGUAUCUUCCACAUGUUAACCCUUCAGGGUAUGAUGUGGUCUCCGAGGUCUUUUCCCCCUGAAAGAAUAGGAAAGGGAAAGAACACCUUCCCCUGUGCAUGUCAUAGCAUUACAUGGCCCCAGCUAAAUCUAACACUGUGUAGAGAAAACAUAGAGAGAAAAGGCCGCUGGUAGCACCUGCAUCGGCAGUUCACGUAACAUGAUUCAGCUGUUGUGGCGUUUUGUAUAGGGACCUCUAGUGUCACUUCAUCGACACAAUGUCAAGUGAGUGACAGAAGGGGAAUGUCUCGGUAACUGUCGUAACCUCCAUUCCCUGAUGUAGGGAACGAGACGUUGUGUCCCUCUUACCACACGCUGUACCAGUCACUGAAACAGCCGGGACCUUGUCUCGGCUCCUCUGUAAAAAGCCUGAGCGAGUACAAUGCAAGUCAUCUCUAUUGAUACCCGUAUGUGCGUGGGAGUGCCAUGCAAAUUCUACUAGCUAAUUCUAGUUGGCCUUUUCUCAAACACUUGGGAGGUGGUCAGGGCUCUCAAGAGCGACCCCUAGUGUCACUACAUCUACACAAUGUCUGGUUCCCUCCAUCACGGAACAGAGGCUACGACAGUAACUGAGACAUUUACUAAAUAAACAUGAUAUAUUAUUCAUUUUUCAUUCAUCUGAAUUAAUUAAUUUAACCAUGUGAAAUUAAAGAGUAAAAAUAUAUUUUUAUAUUUCUGGUGAUUUAAGAGGAACUGAAUAUCAGACAAAAACAUUUUCCACCAAAGCAACUUUAAUUUCAUGCUUGAUCUUGUUUCUCAGAUUAUAAAACAGUUUAAUUUAUUGUUAUUUUCUCCACUGAU